rnacentral:rRNA from 1 species
UACGGUGGGGGCAAGCGUUGUUCGGAAUUACUGGGCGUAAAGGGCGCGUAGGCGGCCUACUAAGUCGGACGUGAAAUCCCUCGGCUCAACCGGGGAACUGCGUCCGAUACUGGUGGGCUCGAAUCCGGGAGAGGGAUGUGGAAUUCCAGGUGUAGCGGUGAAAUGCGUAGAUAUCUGGAGGAACACCGGUGGCGAAGGCGGCAUCCUGGACCGGUAUUGACGCUGAUGCGCGAAAGCCAGGGGAGCAAACGGG